CACACACACACACACACACACACACACACACACACACACACACACACACACACACACACACACACACACACACACACACACACACACACACACACACACACACACACACACACACCUCCCCCUCCACCCAGGUAUGGUCGCGGAGGAGUAUAAUGCCUACUUCUACUCGUUGGUGUCUCAGGAUACUCAGGAGAUGGCCUACAGCACCAAGAGACAAAGGUUCCUAGUGGACCAGGGAUACAGCUUCAAGGUCAUCACUAAAAUGGCGGGGAGGAGGAUAAUCUGAUGUUCUCCUCCAGAGAGGAGCAGUAUCAGCUUCUCCAGAAGGUUCUGGCUGCUACAGACCUCGACGCAGAGGAGGAAGUGGUCAUCGGAGAGAAUGGACGGCCAAUGUUCCAACGGAGGCCAGGUACCAUGAGCUCCAUGUCUGGGGCUGAUGAUUCUGUCUACAUGGAGUAUCGCUCUAGAGGCAGCCGGGCCCACCUGGGUAACAACAUCCACCCGCUCUUCAAGCGCUUCAGGAAGGGCCCGUAGGUCUCUGCUCUAAUCUGCUGCACUACAUAGGGAAUAAGGUGUUACUGUGGGAUGCUGCCGGGGUGUUGUGGAAGGGAUUCCUAGACUCGGGUCAGGCGAGAGGUAACCGCUAUAGACCCUGGUAGGACGAACAUGUUCCCUGUGUGUUUCAGAGAGAACCCAGUUCUGCAUCACCUCAGUUCUGGGGGUUUUAUUUCUUCAGAGAGGGAUACUAAAUGUGGUCUUUUAUUUUUCUCAUAUUUCAUUCAUGUGUUUUUGUUUUUUGUCUUGACAUUGUUUCCAUGAAAUGCGUUUGAAAUAAAAACAGGAAUUUUUGGGA